AAAACCAGAAACUUUUCUGUUAGGAAUACUAAGAAAUGACAUAAAAAAGAAGGAUGAGAAGUUGUUUUUAUAUGCAGUAACAGCGGCAAGAAUUUUGGUGGCACAAAAAUGGAAACAGGAAGAAAUCCCGACGAAAGAAGAAUAGAGAAUGAAGUUGAUGGAAUACGCAGAAUUAGACAAGCUAACGGGGAGAAUUCGGAACCAGCGAGACCAGAGAUUUACCGAGGACUGGAAUAAAUUUACAGAGUAUAUUAAAAAUGUAUGUGAAGGUCAAUUAACGUUUGUAGGUUUUCAAGAAGCUCUGUGAUAAUAAUGGAAAGAAAUAUUGUUUUAUAAUAAUUGCUAAGAUUAAUUUGGUUUAAAAAAAAAACAAUACAGAUGCAAGAAAUGUGAAUAACUGUGAAAACAUGAAAAUUCCCAGAUAGACUGAAGGAAGUCUGAAAGUGGAAAGAUUAGAAUUGGAU